CUGGAACACUCCUACGGGAGGCAGCAGUGGGGAAUAUUGCACAAUGGGGGAAACCCUGAUGCAGCCAUGCCGCGUGUGUGAAGAAGGCCUUCGGGUUGUAAAGCACUUUCAGUAGGGAGGAAGGUAGUGUAGUUAACACCUGCAUUAUUUGACGUUACCUACAGAAGAAGCACCGGCUAACUCCGUGCCAGCAGCCGCGGUAAUACGGAGGGUGCGAGCGUUAAUCGGAAUUACUGGGCGUAAAGCGCAUGCAGGCGGCCUGUUAAGUCAGAUGUGAAAGCCCGGGGCUUAACCUCGGAAUUGCAUUUGAAACUGGCAGGCUAGAGUCUUGUAGAGGGGGUAGAAUUUCAGGUGUAGCGGUGAAAUGCGUAGAGAUCUGAAGGAAUACCAGUGGCGAAGGCGGCCCCCUGGACAAAGACUGACGCUCAGAUGCGAAAGCGUGGGGAGCAAACAGGAUUAGAUACCCUGGUAG
rnacentral:rRNA from 1 species